UACAGAGGUCCCAAGCGUUGUUCGGAUUCAUUGGGCGUAAAGGGUGCGUAGGCGGCGGGGUAAGUCAGGUGUGAAAUCCCGGAGCUCAACUCCGGAACUGCACUUGAUACUGCCUUGCUCGAGUACUGGAGAGGAGACUGGAAUUUACGGUGUAGCAGUGAAAUGCGUAGAUAUCGUAAGGAGGACCAGUGGCGAAGGCGAGUCUCUGGACAGUUACUGACGCUGAGGCACGAAGGCCAGGGGAGCAAACGGG
rnacentral:rRNA from 1 species